AGGACGAACGCUGGCGGCGUGCUUAACACAUGCAAGUCGAGCGGAAAGGCCCUUCGGGGUACUCGAGCGGCGAACGGGUGAGUAACACGUGAGUAACCUGCCCCUAGCUUCGGGAUAGCUCCGGGAAACCGGAAUUAAUACCGGAUAUGACCACGGCCGACAUCGGCCACGGUGGAAAGAUUCAUCGGCUAGGGAUGGGCUCGCGGCCUAUCAGCUUGUUGGUGGGGUAACAGCCUACCAAGGCGACGACGGGUAGCCGGCCUGAGAGGGCGACCGGCCACGACUGGGACUGAGACACGGCCCAGACUCCUACGGGAGGCAGCAGUGGGGAAUAUUGCGCAAUGGGCGAAAGCCUGACGCAGCGACGCCGCGUGGGGGAUGAAGGCCUUCGGGUUGGUAAACCUCUUUCAGCAGGACGAAGCGAAAGUGACGGUACCUGCAGAAGAAGCACCGGCCAACUACGUGCCAGCAGCCGC
rnacentral:rRNA from 1 species